UGAGCAAUCUGCCCUUCUCAUCGGAAUAAGCGUUGGAAACGACGUCUAAUCGCCGAAUACCGACCUUCCUUUCACA
rnacentral:rRNA from 1 species